UCCUGGAGCCUGUGAAGCUUCUUUGGAUGCCUUAUUGACUUUAAUUAAGGAUGAAAAACUUCAAAGUGGUGCUAAAGUUCUUGCUGAAGAAAAUGCCAUACCAUCAAUGAUAAAGCUACUUAAUAGUCCUUCCCCUAGACUGCAAGAAAAGGUUCUGAAUUCAUUAGAAAGACUUUUUAGGUUGGUGGAAUACAAGCAGAGGUAUGGAUCGUCUGCUCACAUGCCUUUAGUUGACUUGACACAACGAGGAACUAGCAACAUCAAAUCUGUAGCAGCAAAGGUACUUGCUCAGUUGAAUGUGCUUCAUGACCAGUCCUCUUAUUUCUAAGGCAGAGCCACGAUCCUUGAAGACCCACACAGUGCAAUUAGAUGAAGAAAUUGGUUAGAGUAAGGCUGCGACUAGAGCAAGGUAUGUCUGUCUUAGGCAUAAAACCCCAGCUUUAUGAGAAAGAACCUCAGUUAGGAAGGCAAGAGUUUGAGUGACUGAAGAUUGCAUGGUAGCCCUGGUUUAAGUGAAAUGCAAAGCCCUUACAUCUGAUAUCUUGUGGUGCUUUCUGACAAUCGCGGUGAACAUUCAGGAACCACUGGUAAUAUAAUUUUUUUUUCUUUUGAAAUUCUUGCAUUCUUAAGAAUAGGGGUUGAGUAACAAUCAAAUACUUUGAUUCUUUAUCAUUGAUAAAACCUGAUGUAUGUGUCAGUGGGAAACAAGCAAUUUGGGCUGACCUCCCAUGAUAGAGCGGUUACUCAAGUCCUUGUUGUAAAAUAUGUAAUGGAAUUCAUUAGUCAUAGCCAAUUG
rnacentral:misc_RNA from 1 species